CCCUUAGUUAUCCUAGGCCGCACGCGUGUUACAAUGACUUUUUCAGCAAGUUCUCCUGGCCCGAGAGGGUGCGGGUAAUCUGAAAUCAAAGUCGUGUUGGGGAUAGAUCUUUGCAAUUAUAGAUCUUGAACGAGGAUUUUGUAGUAAGUGCGCGUCAUCACCGCGUACUGACUGCGUCCCUGCUGUUUGUACACACCGCCCGUCGCUUCUACCGAUUGAAUGUUCCGGUGAGUAAUUUGGACCCGGGGGGGCUUGCUCCUCUGGGGAAGUUUCGCAAACCUAUGCAUUUAGAGGAAGAAGAAGUCGUAACA
rnacentral:rRNA from 1 species